rnacentral:rRNA from 1 species
UAACCUGCCCAAGAGAUCGGGAUAACACCUGGAAACAGAUGCUAAUACCGGAUAACAACAGAUGAUGCCUAUCAACUGUUUAAAAGAUGGUUCUGCUAUCACUCUUGGAUGGACCUGCGGUGCAUUAGCUAGUUGUAGGGUAACGGCCUACCAAGGCGAUGAUGCAUAGCCGAGUUGAGAGACUGAUCGGCCACAUUGGGACUGAGACACGGCCCAAACUCCUACGGGAGGCAGCAGCG